UUCUAUUCUCUCAUUAACCUCUCCAUGUGGAACCAUGUUGGCUUGCUUGGUGUGGUCUGAUGAGAGCCAAGGUUUAAACCCCAAAAGUUCAGUUUCAGUUUGAAAGAAGCAGCUAGGACCCUGACACCACAGCUUCCGUGAGAAAUGGACAGUGUCUGCUAGAAGCACAGUAUGUGACACAGAGUAUGUGGCUAAAAUAGUAGCCUCUAUUGAAAGGGCCAUUCUCUGUGUUCUGCCUGUUGCCAAAACCAUCAACACAGACUCAUCAACUCAGGUCGGCCAUUUUCACGAGAAUCUCCCACAGUAUUAUUCAUAGCAGCUCAGGAGCUCAUCUUUGAUUCAAAAAAUAAGCUGGACAUUGUGGUAUGCAACUGGGAGCCGAAGCUGGAGGAUUGUAUGUUUCUGGCCAAUUCAGGCUACAUGGAGAAACUGAGACAC
rnacentral:sRNA from 1 species